CUACGGGGCGCUCCAGUGGGGAAUCUUAGACAAUGGGGGAAACCCUGAUCUAGCCAUGCCGCGUGAGUGAUGAAGGCCUUAGGGUCGUAAAGCUCUUUCGCCAGGGAUGAUAAUGACAGUACCUGGUAAAGAAACCCCGGCUAACUCCGUGCCAGCAGCCGCGGUAAUACGGAGGGGGUUAGCGUUGUUCGGAAUUACUGGGCGUAAAGCGCGCGUAGGCGGAUUAGAAAGUUGGGGGUGAAAUCCCGGGGCUCAACCCCGGAACUGCCUCCAAAACUACUAGUCUAGAGUUCGAGAGAGGUGAGUGGAAUUCCGAGUGUAGAGGUGAAAUUCGUAGAUAUUCGGAGGAACACCAGUGGCGAAGGCGGCUCACUGGCUCGAUACUGACGCUGAGGUGCGAAAGUGUGGGGAGCAAACAGGAUUAGAUACCCUCGUAGUC
rnacentral:rRNA from 1 species